UACGUAGGGAGCGAGCGUUAUCCGGAUUUAUUGGGUGUAAAGGGUGCGUAGGCGGCAUUUUAGGUCUGUGGUUCAAGCCCGAAGCUUAACUUCGGAUCGCCAUAGAAACCGAAAAGCUUGAGUAUGGUAGAGGCAAGUGGAAUUUCUAGUGUAGCGGUUAAAUGCGUAGAUAUUAGAAGGAACACCAGUGGCGAAGGCGACUUGCUGGGCCAUUACUGACGCUGAGGCACGAAAGCGUGGGGAGCAAA
rnacentral:rRNA from 1 species